UUGCAUAGUUUGUGCAAUUAUGUAGAGGAAAGUCCAUGCUCACAAGAACUGUGAUGUUCUUAGUGUUUGUGUUUAGGGAAAAAAUAACCUAAAGUAGCUUUGUAAGAAUUAUAGAUUAUUCUUUAGUUCUUUGAAGUUAACGGCUUUUUCAAAACCUAAGUUUUUGUAAUAUGGUCUUGAGAAUAUAAAAGUGCCAAAGAGACGAGCCUUAUGGAAACAUAAGGAGUGGAACGCGGUAAACCCCACAAGUGAGAAACCCAAAUUUUGGUAGGGGAGUUUUGAUCUAGGAAAAUAGAACUUGGAUCAAGAAUCUUUAUUUUAAAGAUAGAUAAAUGUUUGCCACCUUAAUUUUUAAGGUACAGAACAUGGCUUAUU
rnacentral:RNase_P_RNA from 2 species